CAGCAUGCUACGGUGAAUACGUUCCCGGGUCUUGUACACACCGCCCGUCACACCACGAGAGUUUGUAACACCCGAAGCCGGUGGAGUAACCUUUUAGGAGCUAGCCGUCGAAGGUGGGACAAAUGAUCGGGGUGAAGUCGUAACAAGGUAGCCGUAUCGGAAGGUGCGGCUGGAUCACCUCCUUU
rnacentral:rRNA from 1 species